rnacentral:rRNA from 1 species
GUAGGGGGCAAGCGUUAUCCGGAUUUACUGGGUGUAAAUGGAGCGUAGGCGGCUGUGUAAGCCAGAAGUGAAAGCCCGAGGCUCAACCACGGGACUGCUUUUGGAACUACAUGGCUUGAUUGCAGGAGAGGCAAGUGGAAUUCCUAGUGUAGCGGUGAAAUGCGUAGAUAUUAGGAGGAACACCAGUGGCGAAGGCGGCUUGCUGGACUGUAAAUGACGCUGAGGCUCGAAAGCGUGGGGAGCAAA